UGGGGAAUUUUGCACAAUGGGGGAAACCCUGAUGCAGCGACGCCGCGUGAUUUAGAAGGCCUUCGGGUUGUAAAAAUCUUUUUUACGGGAUGAAAAUGACAGUACCGUAAGAAUAAGGUCCGGCUAAAUACGUGCCAGCAGCCGCGGUAAUACGUAUGGACCGAGCGUUGUCCGGAAUCAUUGGGCGUAAAGGGUACGUAGGCGGCCUAGUAAGUUAGAAGUGAAAUAAUAUAGCUCACUAUAUAAAGCUUUUAAAACUGCUAGGCUUGAGAGAUGGAAGGGAAAGUGGAAUUCCUAGUGUAGCGGUGAAAUGCGCAGAUAUUAGGAAGAAUACCGGUGGCGAAGGCGACUUUCUGGUCAUCAUCUGACGCUGAGGUACGAAAGCGUGGGUAGCAAACAGG
rnacentral:rRNA from 1 species